rnacentral:lncRNA from 1 species
UGCUAGUCUCAUUUAUGUGUAGUUUGGGGUUGAAAUUCACUGGCUUUUCCUCCUUAUUCUAGAUUUGCUUAAGCUUCACUUGGAUUUAAUGCUGUCGCCUUCUUCAUGUUCUAUCUGUGUGCUUAUGCCAAUCUAUGUCUUGCUCUUUCCAAACCUUGCUACGCUAGACUUAGGAAUCUGAGCUCAUGGCAAUGCAUGCUUGUUAAUUUGUUUAAUUAUUGGAUGCACCCACUCCGCAUCCACAAAGUAAAAUGUUUUCACUUUACACUUGGAUGAAUUUAAUAGUUUUUACUGAAAAUGGCACCAAAAGGCGUGCUUGGUAAGGAGCGGGAACUUUUUUCUUUUGGAUGGAGUUUAAUUAUUCUUUGGACCAUUUCCAUAAGACCAUCUUCAUAAGCUGUGACAAAUGAUAUGAAUUUAGUUUCCUUAAUUGACCUGUUUUUUCUUUGCAGGAUUGUCUUUUGCUUAUCAGCUUUUGUAUCUACUAGAUGCUACUGGUUCUACUCUUUAGGAUUACACGUUUAGGGAUUCAUGUUUGUCGAGCUACAGGGCAGGAGCUGGUACUUAUUCUAGAUAUGUAUCAUGUGUACUGAUCUAUUAGAUCUAUUGUCAUCCUUCUUGUCUGUGGACUAACUUUGCUAUCUAAAUCAGUUUACAACUUGGUAAUCUAUACUUAUAUAGGAUCUUGCAUGGAAAUUCAUGCAUAUCUCCAAACCAUGAAUGUUGCUUACUUUAAAUUUUUUUUCUAUGUGUUCUUUAACUAUCAGACACUUGACUAGGUGCAUUUUCAUAUAAUCUUAUAUUUAUCUCCACAAAGCUGGUAGUUUGAGGAAAAGAUCAAGUAAGAAAAUUUGUAUUUAAAAUGGAGAAAGUGUUUAUUUAUUCAAUCAAACCACUCUUCGACAUACUUGUAGAUGUUAGUUGAAUCAGUUGAGCCAUCUUUAAACCUUUUUUUAGGACCUAGCAGUGCAUUUAUGAUGGACUGAUUUCAGUUAUGUUUCUACUUAUUUCCUUUCAUUUCUUUGAGCAUGGGCACUUUCUUUUGACAAGGUAGAUGGAUACAUCUUCAAGAAUUUCUAAAAUCAGGAGCCGCGAACGUGAGAGACUCCGUGGCCCCCCUUGGCUGAAGGUAUGUGAUUCCAUAUUUCUUAAUGGUUUUAUGCUGAUACUUUGAAUAUUGUUAAUAGUCUGAGAUUAUGUGGAGCAGUUACCAUGUUAUUCAAGCAUUGUGCAUGUAGAUGCCUAUCAUGUUAUCUAUCAUAUUUCUGAACCUCAACAAAUUUGGCUCUAAGAUUCUAUGGUUGUCAUCUUUUUGAAACUAUAAAUUCAAUGACUAUUUUGAAGGUUCUAUGAUCAAUAACUUGGCUAUUUGCAUUUCAGGCAGUGCAAGGUGCACUUCUAAGCAGUAUGUAUGCAGUUCUUGACUAUGCACAAACUGGUUUAAUUGCUGCAGUAUUUUUCUUUAAAGUAAGUGCACUUCACCGAGAUUAUGUCAAAUCCUGCAUUAGCAACUUUAUUUGAUUCUUUUUUAUCUUCAUGUCAUUGUCUUAUCAUCAUUGGUUCAUUUGAUUUUUCUGUUGGUUUCAUAUUCUUCUUUAUUUAUUUUAAAGUCCCCUUCAUUGGGGUCGUUUUUCAUUAUAUUAAAAACUCUGUUGGUUUCAGACUUGAUUAUGUUGAAUCAUGCGCCUUAUUAGCUGUAUUUUCUUUUCCAUUAUUGCCCUGUCUCUCUUUCUCUCUCUCUCAAAGACACACAGAUUUCCACACAAGAUGGCGAAUAAAAUCCAUGACUUUUCAUUAUUGAUGUGAAUGUCAGAUGAUGGAAUGGUGGUACCAAUCUGCUGAGGAGAGAAUGUCUGCUCCAACAGUGUAUCCCCACCACCACCUCCUCCUCCCCCAAAGGUGAGGUUAUUUUCUUUUAAUGUGUAGGAAGUUCCACAAACGGUUGGUGGCUUUUUAAGAUUUUAUAUUUUCUUGCAUGUAGGACAUUCUUUUGUGACUCGUGAGUAAGGUGCAGUAAUUGUUAUGUUUCAUAUGAAUAGUUCCCAUAGUGAAGUUAUUCCUAUCUGACACGUGUGGCUCACGCAUUGCCAAGUCUUGGGAAAUUUUUGCAUGGGGGCACCAUUGAUGGUAAUAAAUGAAAAAAAAAUAACAAUCAUAGGUGCAGAAAUGCUAUAAUGAUAAGGUUUCUUACACAAAUUGAAAAAAAA